GGCUUGGUAGCUCAGCUGGUCAGAGCAGGGGACUCAUAAGCCCAAGGUCGUCGGUUCAAGUCCGACCCGAGCCA
rnacentral:tRNA from 2 species